GUUCCCAUCUCAGGUGCUCACCUACAGAAGGGCUCUGUCGCUCCCACUCUCCCAUUUCCUCCCUUCCUAUCAUUGAAUCCUUCUCUUGUGCACCUGCCCAUGGGCCCCUGUGCCUGCCAUCUUCAGUUGCCCCCUCAGAGAACAGAGACUAUGGUGUGAAGGUGAAUGGCUCCCACCCACAAAGUUCCCUGUACGGUGGUCCUCAGAGUGGGGCCCUGGACCAGCAGCUUCAGCAUCAUCUGGGGACUGGUGAACAAUGAGGACUCUCAGCCCCACACCAGCCCCACAGAACCUGCAGCCCUGGGGUGGGGCAGACCACCCUCCAGGUGUGCCUGAUGCACUCAAGUCAGAACCGUGGCCCCACAGCUCCCUCUCAGGCCGUCUCUCUUUCCUGGGAAGAAAUGCAUCCUCUUCCGGCCCAUCACAAGGCCAAGGUGGCUUCUGAAUGGGUGUGAUUUCCCUGCAGCCACUUCUCUGGAAAGGGAUUCUUCACCCAAGAGACCUGAGAGAAUCAAGGAAAGCUGUUCUGAAAAUCUGUCAUCUGACCCAAGAGAGCAGAGAGGUGACUGUCUCCUAGGUGAGCAGCAAUUAAAUGGUAUGUGAAAAUGUAUAUUAUUUGCCCACUUGGUCCACAGGGUGAUCAUGCAUUUUAGGAAUAUUUUAAAACAUGCAGUCUACAUUCUCUCAGCACGGCUUCCAUUCGUCAAGCAACUGUAUACUCAGAACAUGUGGUCUGUGUAGUAGGAGUGGUUUUAUAAACCCUCGUUAAGGGGAACGAAACCAAAAGGCAUCCUCUGCAGCCCAUCUUUCAGAACUGUUGAUGCCAACCCAAUGUGACAAAAGGACACAGAACCACGCGCCCUCCCUAGCCCAGGAGCGGCUAGCUCAGGGGUGAGCCUGGACUGAGGGGCACAGUUUGGGGCUCCCCCAGGCACUGCUUUAGAAGUAGGCUAGAAGGGGAGAGGGGAGGGGCCGUUGUCAGGCACAAGGGGAAGACUCACAGUGGCCAGCAGAGAGCGGAAAGCAGGGACGUGAGGCCGGGUGGUGAUGGAGCAGGGGCCCACCGAGGCCCAGCUCUCACCAGUAUGCAUGGUGGCCAAGGGGUUAGGGCAGAGGCAA